AUUGAACGCUGGCGGCAGGCCUAACACAUGCAAGUCGAACGAGUGGCGGACGGGUGAGUAAUGUCGUGGAAAGUGCCUGAUGGAGGGGGCAAACUAGUGGAAAAGGUGGCUAAUACCGCAUACCAUCAGAUCGGCCGAGAUGGGAUUAGCUAGUUGGUGGGGUAACGGCUCACCAAGGCGACGAUCCCUAGCUGGUCUGAGAGGAUGACCAGCCACACUGGAACUGAGACACGGCCCAGACUCCUACGGGAGGCAGCAGUGGGGAAUAUUGGACAAUGGGCGAAAGCCUGAUGCAGCCAUGCCGCGUGUAUGAAGAAGGCCUUCGGGUUGUAAAGUACUUUUGGCAGAGAAGCGUUAUCUGCAGAAUAAGCACCGGCUAACUCCGUGCCAGCAGCCGCGGUAAUUC
rnacentral:rRNA from 1 species